rnacentral:rRNA from 1 species
UCAGUUCGGAUCGGAGUCUGCAACCCGACUCCGUGAAGCUGGAUUCGCUAGUAAUCGCGCAUCAGCCACGGCGCGGUGAGUACGUUCCCGGGCCUUGUACACACCGCCCGUCAAGCCAUGGAAGCCGGGGGUGCCUGAAGUGCGCUGCCGCAAGGAGCGCCCUAGGGUAAAACCGGUGACUGGGGCUAAGUCGUAACAAGGUACC